AUUCCAACCUAUUCAUACAGGAGUGCUGUGCCUGCUUUGGAACUGCCUUGCGCUAUUUUCACAGAUUUUAAUUAAACGAUGACCUGUGGAAUGUAUUAUUGAUCCCUGAGAGGCUGGGUGAGAUGCAGGAAGACUAGAUGAGGAAAAGUACAGUAAAUAUCCUCAAAAAGCAAGGCAAAACAGACAAGCAUCUCCUAGGACUGACACCAAUAUAACUGAUUCAGCCUUAUAGUAAGAGGAAGAACUUAAAGACUUCUCCAGAUCCUUACCAGUAUUCUGAUGAUGUAAGCAAUCAAAUGCUGUUCAAAAGAAACUCAAGCAAUAGACAACAACCUGGAAUUUUCAAGAUAUAGUGUGAGAAAACACUGGAUGAGGCAAGCACAAGGUUUUUUCAAUGUUGUGGUAACUGGGUUCCUUUUGGAUGUCCACAGGAAGUAAUGGUAAAGCAUUCACCAUUCAGGCAGAAGGAAUUAAUCUUACAGAGAAAUCCACUGGAUAAAAAAAAAUGGUGGAGAAAAGUAAAUAAAUGUAUUGAGACA